CAGCAUCUCUUUCUUAUUUUGUUUUUAUGUAUUUUUAUACACCUCUUGAAUUUUAAAAGUGAAUAAAUUGCCUUUCAAGUAUUCCUUUGGUUGCAAUUGUUUGGAUCUUCUUGCUGACCUGGAUACUCCAUUGGCUUACACUUGAGGAGGGAGAAUUAAAGGAGAAUAACCCCCCCCCCAUUUAUAUCUAGGGGGAGGCACCCUGA